rnacentral:rRNA from 1 species
GAUGAACGCUGGCGGCGUGCCUAAUACAUGCAAGUCGAGCGAACAGACGAGGAGCUUGCUCCUCUGACGUUAGCGGCGGACGGGUGAGUAACACGUGGAUAACCUACCUAUAAGACUGGGAUAACUUCGGGAAACCGGAGCUAAUACCGGAUAAUAUAUUGAACCGCAUGGUUCAAUAGUGAAAGACGGUUUUGCUGUCACUUAUAGAUGGAUCUGCGCCGCAUUAGCUAGUUGGUAAGGUAACGGCUUACCAAGGCAACGAUGCGUAGCCGACCUGAGAGGGUGAUCGGCCACACUGGAACUGAGACACGGUCCAGACUCCUACGGGAGGCAGCAGUAGGGAAUCUUCCGCAAUGGGCGAAAGCCUGACGGAGCAACGCCGCGUGAGUGACGAAGGUCUUCGGAUCGUAAAACUCUGUUAUUAGGGAAGAACAAAUGUGUAAGUAACUAUGCACGUCUUGACGGUACCUAAUCAGAAAGCCACGGCUAACUACGUG